ensembl:rRNA 5S_rRNA 5S ribosomal RNA
AAUGCCCCCGAUCUCGUCUGAUCUCGGAUGCAAAU